rnacentral:rRNA from 1 species
UACGAAGGGGGCUAGCGUUGCUCGGAAUCACUGGGCGUAAAGCGCACGUAGGCGGCUUUCUAAGUCAGGGGUGAAAUCCUGGAGCUCAACUCCAGAACUGCCUUUGAUACUGGGAAGCUCGAGUCCGGAAGAGGUGAGUGGAACUCCGAGUGUAGAGGUGAAAUUCGUAGAUAUUCGGAAGAACACCAGUGGCGAAGGCGGCUCACUGGUCCGGUACUGACGCUGAGGCGCGAAAGCCAGGGGAGCAAACGGG